rnacentral:lncRNA from 1 species
CUGAUAUUAAACUUUUAUUUCUGCUUGAAAAUAUAAAAAGUAUUACUCUAAAAGUAUGUCGGAUGAGGUUCAAGAUUACAUUUCUACCUGUACUGUUUGAUAGUAAAUCAAUAUCAGGUAAUUUUAACCUGUACAGGUGAACUCAGUGUUAUAGUUUGAACAGCGCAAUGCAGUACUGGUUGUGUUUAGUGCUCAUCUUAGCUUUUCAUAUUUUAUGUUGUUUGUGUACAUAGCUUUUCAUUUUUCAUGUGGUUUUAUGUUACCAUAGUCUCUCUACAUUUAUUUUGUUUGCUGAGAAGAGAUGACUUUUCUUUAAAACCAUUUUAAAUCAAACAGUCUUGGUACGGUUUAUGUUUUCGACACCUUGUAGGGUGUGUACCACGACAAAUUUGGCGGUCUUUGUUGAUAUGAGGCGGUUCGUAAGAUAAGUGCUCAGGGUUGAUGCAUCUCUUCUGAUGACACAGAUGAGACACAUCAACUUCCUCUGAUAGGUCAAAUUUCCCAGUGUGCAACAUGUAUGAAAAUCUGAGACCAUACAAUGUUCUUUUUUUUCUGUCCCAAGGAAACCUAACACUAUAAAUGGAAUAUAGCUUCGUCUGUCCACCCAUUUGACUAAUCAAACACC